AUUGAACGCUGGCGGCAGGCCUAACACAUGCAAGUCGAACGAGUGGCGGACGGGUGAGUAAUGUCUGGGAAACUGCCCGAUGGAGGGGGAUAAAUACUGGAAACGGUAGCUAAUACCGCAUACCAUCGGAUGUGCCCAGAUGGGUUUAGCUUGUAGGUGAGGUAACGGCUCACCUAGGCGACGCUCCCUAGCUGGUCUGAGAGGAGGACCAGCCACACGGGAACUGAACCACGGUCCAUACUCCGACGGGUGGCAGAAGGGGGGAAUAUUGCACAAUGGGCGCAAGCCUGAUGCAGCCAUGCCGCGUGUAUGAAGAAGGCCUUAUGGUUGUAAAGUACUUUCAGCGGGGAGGCGUUACCCGCAGAAGAAGCACCGGCUAACUCCGUGCCAGCAGCCGCGGUAAUAC
rnacentral:rRNA from 1 species